AUAUAUACGGAUACCACCCUGAACACACCCAAUCUCAUCUGAUCUCCGAAGCUAAGCAGGGUCAGGACUGGUUGUUCUUGGAUGGAAUACCAGGAAUACUAGGUGCUAUAAGCU